rnacentral:rRNA from 1 species
AUGGCGCACUACCCCCCUCUCGCCCAAUCCCGCUUCCCCAGCGAGCUCUACGCCCAUGGGGAUCCAGAUCUGAGGCCAGAGAGGGGUGGGGGCCUAAUCUCCCGCACCCCCGGGAUGGAGGCGUUGGAGGCUGAUUUCAGGAAUCGGGCCCUUCUGGCGUCGGUUCAAGGCAGGCGACCGGCGGUCUCGCUGGAGGCCCUGGUCCAGGCGCUGGACAGGUUCUGUGGGGUGGAGAGGAGGCAUGUCCGGGUCGAGGUGGCUCAUCCGGAUGACUUCUUCAUAUCCUUCGCCUCCACGGAAGACUGCGACAGGGUGUUGUCCUACACUGGGAAGAUCAAAUGCGCUGGAGCCCCCAUUGCGUUUCGUCGCUGGCAUAGGAGCGCGCAAGCAAGAGGAGGCAAGCUUGAUUUUUUCUGCAAGCUGGGGAUCGAAGGUAUGCCUGCUGAUGCCUGGGAGUGGGGCGCGGUGAAUCAACUCAUCAACAACCUACAGGGCCAGCUCGUCGAGAUCUUGCCGCAAGAAGACCGCUGGCAGAUGGAUGUCACAGCCUGGAUGAGGAAUCCCUCCGGCGUCCCGAAGACCUUUGAUCUGGAGAUCCCGGAGCCGGUGGGACUGCCUAACUCCUUCGAGCCGGAGGCACCUCUGUCGCCGCCGCCCGCGCCACCGACGGAGAGGCGCACACUCGUCCACCCCCUCACAAUCCAUGUGCUGGAUGUGGUGGACCGUACUGUCCCAUUCUUGGAGUUUAAUCAAGAUUUUGAGCCCGAUGAGGAUGAGGAUCUAACCAGGCGUCACGACUACUCUCGAUUCUGUUUCAGAGGAAGAGUGGAUGGCACCGGGAGUGGUAAUACGCCUCGUUCUGGGGCUCACCCUUUUGGUGGCCCGGGUGGUUUCGGGAUUGCCGGGGACUGGGGCAGACGCCGAGCACAUGGUCUUUUGGCUCCGGCGGGAGGCAUGCCACUCCCACAUCUGCAGUCUGUGAGGAGGAUUCCGGUCAGACCCAGGGGAGGCGGAUCCAUGUCUCCUGCGCCGCCUGUUUGCACGGGGCCGAUGGAUGGAGGGCUUGCGCCUGCAGCCGCUCUGACCUCCUUGGCGACACGCUCUCCAUCACUUGCUGCUUCCCUUCCCCCCCACGGUGGUUGGCUCUGCGGCACUAGUGGACAUGCCGGCAACGCCGGAUUCCCUAGCCCCGACGGCGGUGGGAUCGGCGGCUUCUGGAAAUACUCCCCCUUUUGGUCGAGCUACUCUCCAUAUGCAGCUAUCGCCCUGCCGCCUCUCCUUUGGUUUGGACGAGGAGGAGCACGAGGCGCCCACGGAUGCGGCUUUGGCGCCCAUGGGAAGGGGGAGCCCGCUCGCGGGGGAGGAGAUCUCUUCCGCCUCAGCUACGGAGUUGCCUGUCGAUCUAGUUGCAGGACCACAGGGGCUCAAACCUCUCGUGAUGCAGAGACAAGUUGA